CCUACGGGAGGCAGCAGUGAGGAAUAUUGGUCAAUGGCCGCAGGGCUGAACCAGCCAAGUCGCGUGAGGGAUGACGGUCCUAUGGAUUGUAAACCUCUUUUGUCAGGGAGCAAAGGGCGCCACGUGUGGCGCUUUGCGAGUACCUGAAGAAAAAGCAUCGGCUAACUCCGUGCCAGCAGCCGCGGUAAUACGGAGGAUGCGAGCGUUAUCCGGAUUUAUUGGGUUUAAAGGGUGCGCAGGCGGAAUGUUAAGUCAGCGGUAAAAUUUCGGGGCUCAACCCCGUCGUGCCGUUGAAACUGGCGUUCUUGAGUGAGCGAGAAGUAUGCGGAAUGCGUGGUGUAGCGGUGAAAUGCAUAGAUAUCACGAAGAACUCCGAUUGCGAAGGCAGCAUACCGGCGCUCAACUGACGCUCAUGCACGAAAGCGUGGGGAUCGAACAGGAUUAGAUACCCGAGUAGUC
rnacentral:rRNA from 1 species